rnacentral:rRNA from 1 species
UACAGAGGCCACAAGCGUUAGGCGGAAUCACUGGGCUUAAAGCGUGUGUAGGCGGGUUGGUAAGUCUCUUGUGAAAUCCCACGGCUUAACCGUGGAAUUGCUGGGUAUACUGCCGAUCUUGAGUCAUCUAGAGGUAACCGGAACAGAUGGUGGAGCGGUGAAAUGCAUAGAUAUCAUCUGGAACGCCAAUGGUGCAGACAGGUUACUGGGGAUGUACUGACGCUGAGGCACGAAAGCCAGGGGAGCAAACGGG